AGAAACUGAAUGUUUGAAGGAAAAUUCUUCAAGAAUGGUGAGCAGGAAGGUAUGUAAUUCUUUUGCUUUUCAAUUUGUUAAUAGGAGUAUCAAUAUACUAUAUGUGCUUCCUGAUUCUCUGUUAGAAAAAACUAAAAAUCUUCAGGUUUAUUUUCUGAGAUAUUGUUGUAGGGAGUGACAAGAGGCAAUGUGAUAGAGAAAUUUUUAAAAAAGAAUAUGAUGAUUCCUUAUUGCAGAGGAGAUUCACAAAUUUAACUUUAGUUAAGAUACAAAUUACAGCUUUAAAUAAAUUUCAUGUAGCCACAUCAAAUAGUUGUGUUGUUGGUAAAGUUAAACAACUUAUAUUUUUUGAUUUUUACCUGACUGAACUCGCAAAACAAGUGAAUUUCUUAUCCUGAAAAGAGUUCCUAUCAAUGCAAGAUGUUCAAAUGUCCAAAAUCCAAGUGAAAGAAUCAUUUGCACGCAAUUAUCAACCAACAUCUGGAAAGGUGUAUAUUCAGUCAUGUGCUGAAAACGAAAAGUAGUCUGGUUCCCUCAUGACACUAACCUUGAAUGACAUUGGAGAAGACAACAAAAAAAUGAACACUUUUGUUCAGUCAAAGGAGACACAAAAGUAGCAACUGAACGAGCUGGAUUUGAAUAUGGGGAGGGUGGGGGGCGGAAACAACUUUAAUGGAAAAUAUAAUGGGAAAAAAAAUAAGUGGAAGAGUCUGAAGAACAAUUUGUUUGGAGUAUACUUUUGUUGUCUAUUCUCUGGAUUUAAUAUUAUUGAUUGAAAAAAACAGUUCCUUUUCAGGAGACAUCAACUAUGUCCAGUUGUGCUAUACCAGUGGCUUUGAAAUGUCUAACAGUUAAAUAGGGAUGGAUGACACAGAGAUAUAGUAUGUGACAAUAGAGUUGGAAUGCUAAAGGUAAGUUCUUAUUUGCUUACUUUUAUGUUUCCGAAAGAUGGAUUUAUAAUAGUUAACCACAAGUGUCCUCUGCUCUCCAAAAAUGUCUUGAAUAUCUGAAUGUAAAGUCACUUUCAUGUAUUAGUAGGAGAUGUAAGAUUCUGCAAUGCCAAAGUGAACAAUAUUUUGCUUUUUUAUUUUCCCUUGGAGCAGAUUUAGUUUUAAAUUAAAUGAGCUUCACCAAGAAGUAUGAAGGAUUGCCUUACCUGCUGCACUAACUAUUGAAUCUCCUUUGUAAAAAUUUAUACCUAGGUGUGAUAUUUUUAAAUUUCCUUACUUAAAUUUCUGAUUUCGACACUCAAUAAGACGACAUUUUUUUCUUUUUGAAAGUAUUUAAGAAAGAAGGACAAGAAAAAAGAGAAGAAGAAGCUCACUUCACGCCUCCUAGAAUUACAAUAUUGGUAGGCGUUACAUAAAACACAUGAAAUAGGCCUAAUUAAGAAGGACAAGUAAAUGAACCAAAAUUUAGUGUAUAUGAGUUGGUGUUUAAUUCUUUUGGAUAUAAUUUCUUGCUAGAUUUUUUAGUCACAUGUCAGUAAUUUUAUAAGAUUUUCACAUGCAUCAUGUCUCUUUGAUGCGCUUUGUCUUUGUCAUCAAUUAAUUAGUGAAAAAUUGAACGGUCUUAUGGAAAAUCAAAGAAAAAUACCUGAAAGUAUGCACGAAGUGGACUAUGCACCUAGGUGUUUGUUGGAUCUAUUUUCUUUUUAUUCUUUAAAUACAGUAAAAACAGGGUUACUGUUGGUCCGAGAUGCAAUUUUGAGAUCUUUGAAGCAUUAAAGUUAUCAUCACUAACUACAUGAACCUAUUCCUCCUCUCCUUUUGGCCAAGAUGUAUUUUUGUGUUUUCCUCCCUGAAUUUCGGCAGCAAAGUUGACAUGAUUUAAUUUGUUGAUUUUGGUAUGAGCAGUGUUCUGCCCCUUGAAGCUUAUUGUAAGUUUGUUCAUUGGAUUGUGGGUUUAAUUGGAUAGCAACCUAUAUUGCUAAAAGAAAUUUAAAAGUUUUUGUAUCGUUUAACUUGACUGCAGCAUCAGGAAUAAGUCCUUCUCGCUCAGAAGAAAUAUGCGAUAUUUUAAUGUUAUGACUCUUGCCCCAGCGGUCUCCUGAGAAGCUAAUUUUCUCAAUCAAUAUGCCAAGUAAAUGAAAGUGCAUGUUGCUAUUAUGGUUCACACUGUAUAGUAAAUAGUAAUGGGUAAGGGUGUCUUAACUUAAUUUAGUUACUGAAUUGCUGUGUCAAUUAUAUAUGUGCUAAAUCCAUAUGCUUAUAUAAUACCAAUGAUAUGCAAUUUCUUACUUAUUUACUGAUCAUAGCUUUCUCUGACUUGGAAGUAUUAAUUAGGAAACAAGAGUAACGGUGCAGUUUGAGGAGCAGUCAGAUUGAGGAAUAAAUGCAAGUAGCAAAAUUGAGUAAGUGCCCAAUAGUAUAUUUUCUUUAGCUUUCCAACUGUUGAUGAUAUCCUUUGAAUCAUCUUAGCUACAAAGAAGAAAAGGAAGUUAUGUGCAGUGUAGUUAAAGGUUCUCAAGGUGAUAGUACUACAUUUUUUGGUAAAUAUUAUAAAUGGCUCAUUUGGAUCUUCUGCUUACUUUCCAUCAUCUUAAUUAAAAACAGUCAUCUCAGCUGCCGCUUGGUCUUCUGUUAACAAAAAUCUUGUAAUUGUAAUUGUACUCCAAAAAUAUUACUUUUUUAUGUUGCCUUCAGGAUCCUCCAGUUGGAACUAAUGUGUUUGAAGUAUAUAAGAAUGCUUGGUUAUGUGGUACUUUUAGGAACAUUACCAGACAACUUGAUCCAGUUAUCGCCCGGGGAAAUACAACAAUGACUAAAGAACUAUGUUGUUGAAACUGCACUAAGAGUUGAGAACCUCGAAUUUUGAAGAUGGUUUCUAGGAAAGACAAUUGCAGACAGGACUUCACAACAUAUGCAGAGACAUGACAUGGUGAAGCAUUGGAUCACACUCAACAAACCUUAUACAUAUUUAUAGUACAAGGUUAUGAUCUCGGCAGCCAGUCAUCACAGGGGCGAUGAUAUAUCCUUCUUCAUGCCUUUUAUAGAGAAGAAAACAGUGGCAGGUUCGAGCCUUACAUUGUUGCACACAAUGGCCUUGUGUAUGACUUUAUGUGCCUCAAACUCAAAUCUAUGCAGGACUAUUGCAAGACAGUAAUACUCUUUUGAUUUCAUGAGGAGGUUUCUACUAUUAUGUCAAUAUUUAAUGUGGAGCAUGGAGGCUAUCAGGAAUUUUUGAAGUAAGGAUGACGAUGAAAAACAUUAGCAGGCAAAAUCAAAUGAUGAAUUUCGAGUGAUGUCUCAUGUCAUGUCUUUUUAUGGCAUUUAAUCUUUUGGCUUUGAAGUUGUACUAUUUAAAAAAGUUUUGUUCUUUCAAGAAAUUUCUAUGUAGCAUAAAUAGUCAGCAACUAUGUAUACUCCGUAUGUACAUAUCCUAUUUACGCACAACAACUAUUUAUAUUCAAUUUGUUUGAGUAGGAUGAAAUAUAUGGGCAUUUCUAGACUUUAGAGGGAGUGACACAGUAGCAUAUCAACUUUGAAGUCGUUCCUCAUGUUGGGCCCGUGCGCAUC